rnacentral:rRNA from 1 species
GAUGAACGCUGGCGGCGUGCCUAAUACAUGCCAGUCGAGCGAACGGACGAGAAGCUUGCUUCUCUGAUGUUAGCGGCGGACGGGUGAGUAACACGUGGAUAACCCACCUAUAAGACUGGGAUAACUUCGGGAAACCGGAGCUAAUACCGGAUAAUAUUUUGAACCGCAUGGUUCAAAAGUGAAAGACGGUCUUGCUGUCACUUCUAGAUGGAUCCGCGCUGCAUUGGCUAGUUGGUAAGGUAACGGCUUACCAAGGCAACGAUGCCUAGCCGACCUGAGAGGGUGGUCGGCCACACUGGAGCGGAAACGCGGUCCAGGCUCCUGCGAGACGCAGCAGUAGGGAAUCUUACGCAGUAGGCGAAAGCCUGACGGAGCAGCGCCGCGUGAGUGAUAAAAGUCUUCGGUGCGUAAAGCUCUCUUAUUAGGGAAGAACAUAUGUGGAAGGAAAUGAGCACAGCGUGACGGUACCGGGUCAGAAAGCCACGGCUAACUACGUG